CAGCCGCCGCGGUAAUACGAAGGGUGCAAGCGUUAAUCGGAAUUACUGGGCGUAAAGCGUGCGUAGGCGGUGAGUUAAGUCUGCUGUGAAAUCCCCGGGCUCAACCUGGGAAUGGCAGUGGAUACUGGCUCGCUAGAGUGUGUCAGAGGAUGGUGGAAUUCCCGGUGUAGCGGUGAAAUGCGUAGAGAUCGGGAGUAACAUCAGUGGCGAAGGCGGCCAUCUGGGACAACACUGACGCUGAGGCACGAAAGCGUGGGGAGCAAACAGGAUUAGAUACCCGCGUAGUCCCUGUCUCUUAUAC
rnacentral:rRNA from 1 species